rnacentral:rRNA from 1 species
AUUGAACGCUGGCGGCAUGCUUUACACAUGCAAGUCGAGCGGCAGCGCGGGGGCAACCCUGGCGGCGAGCGGCGAACGGGUGAGUAAUGCAUCGGAACGUAUCCUCGAGUGGGGGAUAACCCAGCGAAAGUUGGGCUAAUACCGCAUGAGCUCUGAGGAGGAAAGCGGGGGACCUGCGAGGGCCUCGCGCUGGAGGAGCGGCCGAUGUCCGAUUAGCUAGUUGGUGGGGUAAAGGCUUACCAAGGCGACGAUCGGUAGCUGGUCUGAGAGGAUGAUCAGCCACACUGGGACUGGGACACGGCCCAGACUCCUACGGGAGGCAGCAGUGUGGAAUUUUGGACAAUGGGGGCAACCCUGAUCCAGCCAUGCCGCGUGAGUGAAGAAGGCCUUCGGGUUGUAGAGCUCUUUCGGACGGAACGAAAUGGGCGGGACUAAUACUCCUGUCUGAUGACGGUACCGUAAGAAGAAGCACCGGCUAACUACGUG